CCUACGUGUGGCAGCAGUGGGGGAUAUUGCACAAUGGGGGGAACCCUGAUGCAGCGACGCCGCGUGGGUGAAGAAGCGCCUCGGCGCGUAAAGCCCUGUCAGCAGGGAAGAAAAUGACGGUACCUGAAGAAGAAGCCCCGGCUAACUACGUGCCAGCAGCCGCGGUAAUACGUAGGGGGCAAGCGUUACCCGGAUUGACUGGGUGUAAAGGGGUCGCAGACGGCGAUGCAAGCCAGGGGUGAAAGCCCGGGGCCCAACCCCGGGACUGCUCUUGGAAGUGCGUGGCUGGGGUGCAGGAGGGGGAGGCGGAAUUCCUGGGGUAGCGGUGAAAGGCGUAGAUAUGAGGAGGAACACCGGUGGCGAAGGCGGCCUGUUGGACGGCAACUGACGUUGAGGCCCGAAAGCGUGGGGAGCAAACAGGAUUAGAUACCCUUUAGUC
rnacentral:rRNA from 1 species